GCGGAGGAAGGAGUCUCAUCAUCCGCUGGAGCAAUUUCAGGAACAGCAGUCACCGAGACGGGCUCCCUAGCUGGUUUCUCUUCGAUCGGUUGUUCGGCAGCGACGGAAGGAAGGCGAGGCUUUCUCCAUGAAGUUGUUUCCGUACGGUGCGUCGGUAUCAACGUUGGCCAAACUUCCUGCCGCGGGAUCUUCUUUAAUUGGAUCAUUUCAGGUUCCGGUGCGUCCUGUUUAGGCUUCUGAGGCGUACGCUUCAGUACAACCUGUUGCGGAAUUUGCACUUGUUCCGGUUGUUGUGGAGAGCGUUUAAGCGAUUUGCUGAUCACAACUAGUUUUGGAGACUCAUCGGGUUCGGCAAUUGUUCUUUCAGUUGCAACAGAUUCAACCUCUUCGGGUGUGGUUAUUUCCGGAGUUGGUUUCAGUAGGAUUUCAGUGACGACUUUGGGUUCGAUCUCCUUGAGUGGGGGCGUGACGGGUUUGAAAAUCAUCGUGGCAUCUGAUGUCACGUCCGUCGUCUUUUGCGGAACCCGUGACAUAGACGUGGGAAUGUUUGGUUGCGUUUCAGGAGUUGCACUAGGAACUUCUCGUUGCGGUAUCUUCUUUAACUUGAUCGCCUCGGGUUGCGGCUCUUCCACCUUGGGCUUUUGCGGCGUACGCUUCAGCACGACUUGCUGUGGGCUCUGCACUAAUUCCGGUUCUCGAGGGGAGCGUCUAACUGAUUUGCUCGGUUGAGGAGUCUGUGGAAUUUCUUUGGAUUCUGAAGGAACUGUUUCAAAAUUUGAAUCGAUCUUUACCUGAGUUUUGGGCGCUUCCUCAGGUAAGACUUUAGGAACUAUUUGUGAUUCUUGCUUAGGUACGGGAGUAACAGCUUGUUUUAAAGUGAUUUUCCUUUCAAUUAGAACGUCUUUUGUCUGUUCAGGUUCGGUUUCCGCAACGCAAGUUGGAAUGCUAAUUUUGGUAGUUUCAUCCGGUUUGGAAACAGGGACUGAAACCGUUUUUUCUUUAACUUCAGGCAAAUGUGGAACGGCUGGAACGAUUUUCUUUCUCCAGGGCACUUCUCGUUUGGCUUCUAGUGCUUCCGGUGCGCUUUCCGGAAGAGUGACGCUUGUCGGCAUGGCAGGUUGGCCUUCAUCCUUUUCUGAUGGUGGCUGACUUUGACUUACUUGAUCGGGACUGCUUUUGGCAAGUGUAAGUGUCGAUUCUAUGGUCUGUUGAGGUAUUACGUCACGCUGGAUGCUUCUGACUUCCAUUUCGUCUGAUGGAAGUUGCUGUUCUUCCUCAUUCUGACGGCCUACAACGGGUUUUAAUCGGAUCUCAGCUCUUUCUGGAAUUUCUUUUGGUUUUCUUUCUGGCACUUUCUUCAGCUGAAUUCCGACGAAUUCAACAACUUCUGGUUGGGAUUUCUGUAGAGUUCGUUUCGGAACUACUUCAGCAAUUUUUACUUCCUCAUCUCGUCGAUAAACAGGCUUCAGGGUAAUGCUAGAUUCUUCUGUGUCUUUCGAUUUGUGUGGCACUCUUUUCAGCUGGAUAUUUUCCUGUACAGUUUCUUCCUGCUUUAUUUUCUGUGAUGUACGUUUGAGAACUACUUCUGGAAUUUUGUCAGCCUCGUCAAUAGUUUCUCUCUGUUUCUUGCCUGGGAUUGCUGAGGGCUCGGCUGCAGGCGAUGGCAAAUUGGCAUCGAUCGUAAUUGACUCUGACGGGAGUUACAAUGUUUUCUGGCUCUUGAUCAACUGGCGUGGGCUCCAUCGGCUCCUUCACUUCCGCAAUCGUCGUCUGCGAGAUGAUACUCUCCGGCUCAUGCUUCAAUUGCUCGCUAGGUGACACCACCAGCUCACCCUCCGUUGAAGUCGAUUUUGCAACAACAGAUUUGAGUUCUUUUGGUUCUUCUUUCUUUGGAGUCGGUUUGAGAUCCUUUCUUGUAACUUUUUUCAAUUCUACCUUGCUUGAUUCGAUCUUGCUCUCACUAGGUGAUUGUGGAGUCCUUUUCAAUUGAAUUUCCGGCACGAUCUCUGUAACAAUAGCUUCUUUUGAUUUCGGAAGUUGUUUGAGUGAAACUUGCUCUGUUAUUGCUUUCAACGUCUCCUCUUUAUUUUCGAAUUCUAUUUCAAAUGUUUGUUCUGUCUGAUUCACUGGAGUAGCUUCUUUUUUACGUUCCAUGGAAACGGAAGACCUUUGUGUUGUUUCUUCCGUCGGUUUGAUUGAUUCCGGAGUUGGUUUUUGAGGGAUUGCUGGUUUCGUAAUGGCUGUCUUUGGAACAAAUUCUUUCGGUUUUGGUGUUGUAAUAGUUGGUUUAGUCUUUUGCUUUAAAACUGGAACCUCAGUUGAUGACAUUUCUGCUGGUAAUUCGAUUGGGCUGGCCUGCAAAACGGCUUUGGAGCUAUCUGGCAAAUCUGUUGGUUCGUGACCAAACUCUUCUGUCUGAUAUUCAAAUUGCUUCGAUUGUUCAAUCUUCGCUUUUUGGGGAAUCGGUUUGAGUUCGACUCGCUGGUCAGGUUUAGCAAUUUCUUUGGGUUUCUGUGGCGUCUUUUUCAGCUCAACUCUACCGAAUGUCUCAGUUUGUUCUGCUUUCUUUAACGUGGACUUGAUUUCCGUCUUUUUCUCAACCAGUUUUUCAUCUUGGUCGAUGGGUUUCAAAACUACAAGCGAAUCGCCCAAAGUCGUUUGAAUUUGCGACGGUAUUUUCUUCAAAACCACUUGGAUGGGUUCCUUUUCAUCGGCUUUCGGCUUUUGGGGCGUUGGCUUGAGUUCCACCUGCGGGAUGGGCUCGUCUUGAACUACCUUUUCGAUUGAAAUCGGCUUCGUCUUAUCUCUAGAUUUAUGCAACGUCCCACCCGAAAUUGCGUCCUGCUCUUUCGCUACGGUGGCCAACUUUUGCGUGAGGAAAGCUUUGGCAGAUUGUUUUUUAUCAACUCCCUUAUGAACUGCUGGAACUUGGCUGAUUUCAACUGACGUGGGCGAUCCCUUUCGAAGCAUUUGCUUACCGGCCUUCCAUUCGAUAACAUCCAACAACUGACUGCUAGCAUCUCUUUUCUCCGGAGAAACAUCACGACUCCCGGAUGUCUUACGCAAUUGAACUGAUUUCCAGGGCACGCCCAGUUGAGGCUGACCUUCCGAUUGACACGGAGCGGCCGGCGAGCUAUCCCUCGAAGUCUUUUUCAGCAUUUGAACGCCAAUCUUCCAUGGAACAUUGGCCUCUUGCGGCACGUCUGGAAGAUCGGCCUUUGUAGGCGAACUUUCUCUCGAUGUCUUUUUCAAAAGUUGGACUCCGCUCUUCCAGGGAAUGUCGGCCGACGCCCUGGAGGCCAGGGGCGGUACCGUGUCGACCAAAGACGUCCGCCUAUUGGGCGAAGAUUUCCUCAGCCUUUCAGCACCGCCCUUCCAUGCAGGAGACGUUUUGACCGACGUUUCUUCGGCCUUUAGUUGUUGCGGUUUCUUCAACAGUUGCAAACCUUGCUUCCAGGCUGGUUCGUUUUUCUUAACAGAUAACUGGCCAGGACGCCUGUCUUCCGACCUGCUCCUUUUGCGCCACGGAGCCUCUUCUAUCAUAGGGAUCCUCUCCGUGGGCGGAGAACUGGAUUCUCUCCUUCUCCAAGGAGCAACUUGAUGACCCACUUCUGACCGGCUAGUCCGUCUCUGCUCAUCGGUAGACGUUGUGGCAACGGAGACGUUAGCCGCAGUCUUAACGGAGAUGCUAGUCGUCUGGUCAUGGCUAGGCGUCUUUGGUCCUUUGUGAUGACCAACCCGUUGAAAUCGGGCCUGUUUCCCUGUACACGAGGUCGACAUGGAGAGAGAGGAGAGAACGCACUCUGUUGAUUACAAGUUUACAACCCGGUGCCUUGGCUUGUUAUCAUUAGAGUUGCCAGCUGUGAAACGUUGGCGGUACCACCCACUGCAUAGGUGAGGUCCUGUCGCCACGACCAUAUUUGAAGCUAAUGACGAGAGUGGAGGAUAGAAAGAGAUCUUGCGUGAGUCAGCGGUAAUGACUCACGCACCCUUGGAAGUAUCUAGAGUUCCAGAACAGCCAAACUAACUAACACAACAAAAACAAACGGAAAAAAUUGUUUGUAGGGAGUACACGAAAAGAUCUCGAAUCGGCAGUUACCGACUAGACUCGGUCGCAGUCGGUCGUUCAAACAGAAACAUCUCAUUUUGGGGUUUUAACGUAUAGAUCUGAACCGGCCCCCAGAAGAACGAAUGAAAUUCUACAAGGUACAACCAGAAGAGUUUUGUGUCGUUGGUGUUCAUUUUCUCUCUCUCUCUCUUUUCAAAAUUAAAUAAUUGUGUUUUUAAUGUGUGGUUAAUUGAAAGAAGACAUUUCUCAAUUUUCUUUCGUGUCACGUCUUUUUUUUGUUUUUGUUUUGUUUUGAUUUUGGUUGUUUUCUUUUUCAUGCAAAUCAAGGUCAUUGUAAAAAUAAAAAAAAAAAAAAAACGAAGACAACAAAAUAAAAAAAAUUUCCAACAACAAUCCAAAUAGAUUUACUUGGUUUUUCCUGGCCAACAUGCUUUGUGCUCGUGUAUUUCGACGGUGUCAUGUGUGUGGAAUAAAAAAAAAAAUAAUAUAUUAACUACUAGAAUUUUUUGUUCUCGUUCGUUUCGUUUUGAAACUUGCUUGUAUUUUUUUUUUUUUUGAGAGGGAAAAAAAAUAAAAGUAGGCAGAACGGACAGGGGGAGAGCGGGACAGCGCGCAAAAAAGGGGGCGAGGGCGGAAGAGCCAUUUAAAAUUCAAAAAUUUCAAAAGAAAAACAAAAAAAAAAGGCCGACAUGAAAAAAUAUUCAUCAAAAGAGCGUUUGGGUGUGGCACGACAACGACAAUAAGAAAUAAGAAAAAGCCUUUAUCUUUUUUUUUGCUCUACAUCAAAUAUGGCGUUUGUGAUUAUAUCAAAGGAUUUUUUUGUCCAAAUAUAAAAAAGCUGCGAUCACCUUCCAAACGAAUGAGUAGGAAAAUAAUUGUCAAAAAUUGUAAAAUUUCAAAAGGCACUUCAAAGGGGUAGAGAGUUGGGUUUUUGUUUUAUGCUCUCACUACAAUGAUCCAAAAAAGUGUGGAA
rnacentral:lncRNA from 1 species